GUAAAAUUAGUUUAAUUAGAAAAUAGUAAAUUGUGGUUUUAUAGAUAAGUAAAUACUUAUUUUACU
rnacentral:tRNA from 1 species